GAUGCAGCCGCUCACCCUGCCUCCAUCGCCGACACCUCCCACUGCAGGCUAAUAGAUUUCAGCCGCCGCUACUCAGGCCCAUUAGCGGCGAGACCGCUUCCUCCCUUAACGCGCCUUCCUUCCUGUGCGGAGACAAUAAAUUCAGGAGAUAAAUCAGCCUCCACCCCGAGAGCCAGCCGCCGAGGGAUGGUGGUGGUCAGGGGUGAGCAGGAGGCAGGGGAGAAAACAGUUCUAUUUCUCACUAGAUCUCUAAUUGGGUGUCACCGCCUGUCGGAAGAUGAUGAUAAACUCUGAGUCGGUCCUGAGCGGACGCACACGGGCCUCCGUCCACACCCGGCAGGUCAGAGAGACCGGGCAUCGGGCUGUGACUGACGGCUGGGGCCCGGGGCCCGGGGCCGGAGGCAGAUUUAUUUUCCAAAUAAACGCCCCAACGUAUUGCUGACACUCCAUCAAUGCUCAGUUUGGCCCCACGUUCAAGACCGGGGUCGGUGCCGGGGAGAAAAGAGUGAGUCAAAGAUGAGUCAGCCAGGCUGUGCCCGCCUCCCGCCGCCCCAGCCCGUGGGAGAUGACACGCAUGCAAGUAAGUGGAAAGACGAAGGAAAUGAGAAGGGCCUCAAGGGAGGUCUCCGUAAGAUGCAAGGAGUGUUCAGAGGAGGGAGAAACGAUCUUGUGCAUUUCCAAAAAAAAAAUUCCAAGAGCGGAGUAUCUAAAAAGUCAUGCACACAAACCAUUAGAGCUGUGGUGCCAUGUUUGUGACCACACUAGUGAGCAGGUAUCAGUCGUGAGGGGCUUUAUGCGGGUAACUGGUGGUUCGUUCAAGAAUGCGACUGAUAUUUCACAAGCACCUACUAUGCGCCCAGCACUGUGCUGCGUGCUGAGGCUACAACAGGGAAGAAGGCAAGCGCGAGUCCCCACAUGCAAAGCUUACAGAUGGAGAACAAAAAUUUCCGAGCUUGGCCCGUUGAAAGAGCUGGGAGUUUGGCGGGGUGGAGGGCGGUGCGGAGUAGGAAGCCCGGAGGGAAAGACGCGCAGGCAGGGUGGCAGGUGUCCCAGGAAAGAGCAUGGACUCCAUCCUAAGAUGGAGCGAAGCCAUUAAAGAUUACGUGCUUCCUCCAUCACCUCGGUUGUGUGUGUGAAGAACACACAGGGAGAGAGGCCACCUAUAGGAGGACCAUGACUACUUUUACUAUUUUUUAAACAUUUGAACAAGCUCCCCCUACCUGCGCCCCGCAGCGCUGCAUCCGCGCGCUUACACCGUAAGCUUUGCUGGAGGCAGGGGUUCCAGAAGCUGUGUGCUUCCUCCACAGCGAGGUCCAAAGGAACCAACGAAGGACCAGCUGCAGCUGCGCUUGCAAAUUGCUGUUUAUUGCAUUAAGAAUUGUGUUUUUAGAGAGGCUUCCGUUUCCUUUUUCAUUUCACCCGUGGUAAUGCUUUAAAUAAAGAGCAUCCGUGCCACUAUUUGCUCAUGAAAUUGGAGAGUGUAAGGGAGAGGGGGUUUUCAGUACCCCGGUGUGGCCGUGAAAUCUAUCAUCCGUAGCUAUGUCAGCAGCCAGCCCUGCGCAUCCCAGAGGAAAAAAAAGGCUGAGACCCUCCGCCCAAGGGAGGGGUCAGUGAUAACUCCGUUCCUGGAGUUUGGAUUCAAAGGCAUUAGGAAGUCACGGGUCUAGGGAGAGGUCAAAUCACACCUGGUGUGUCCAAUCUCGAGACUGUCUAAAGCUUCUUGUCUCAUUCGGGGUUAAAGUAAUAUCUUUACAGUAGUGAAGAAGGUCCCGCGCGUUCUGCACCCCUGCCCCUCUCCCCCGCCAUCACUCUGACUCCGCCCCUCCUAUGCUCUGCCCUCCUCGCUCUGUUCCAGCCACGCCUGCCUCAGGACCUUGGCACCUGCCGUUUCCUCUAGAGCUAUGCAGGCUAGCCCUCAUCUCCUUCAGGUCUUUACCCAGUGGGUAUUUUUUGUUUGUUUGCUUGCUUUUUAGCAUAUAUGAAAAAUAUUAUUCUUUAUACUUAAGAAUAUUCCUACCCAAGAUCAUCACAUUCGUCAGUGCCCAUAACACAUUUAACUAGCUAUCUUACCCAAGUUCCCCCCCGAAAUCAUGAUGGGCAAAUACAAUCGUCAGCAGUUUGACGUAAGAAACCCUGAUAACCCAGAGAGGAGCGACAUAAAUCAUCAUCCAUCCCGUUGGUCCAGCCAGAAAGACAAACCCAGAACCGUCAGAAUCUGACAGGGCUGCACAGGCAAACAUCACGAAUUCUGCUGGAUUCUAAAGGUACCCUGUCUCGAGGGUGAUGAUGUAACGGAGAAAUCUGUAGCUUCUGACAGUCAACACACUCUCAUAUUUAAGACUCUGGACAUCAAAUUGCAAUCCUUUCUUAAUGGUCCUGAGGACCAUUUGAAACACAACAGCCAAAGUAAACCUCCCUGAGGCUUUCUGAGCACCUAUUUAAAUUGUAGAAGUUCCCAUGAAUCUUAACCCCUGCCCGCUAUCCGUCUCACAGCACCUGUCAUCUUUUAAUAAAUGAGUACUCAUUUAUUUUGAUUUUAGUCUGUCUCCUUACCCUGCUGGAGCAUCAGCUCCACAGGGCAGGGAUUUGUGUGUUUUGUUCACGGCCACAUCCCCAGUGUCACACCAGGACCUGACAGAGCCGUACAAGAGGAAUGCUUGUUAAAUGCUGAACAGACUUUGAGGACAAGGAGUUUCAGUUCCUUUGCCUUUGGAAAGCAUUCUUUUGCCCUUCUUACUUUCUCUCUUUUAUUUUGUAGCAACAGCAGCAGACCCACCUUUCUCAAUAUGACUCAUUUAGCUGAAACUCAGAAUAAGUCUGCUGAUUUUGCAAAGACACCAGCUAAACCGUUUGGGGGUAAGGAAUGACAACCUGGCUUUAAAACCUCAUUAUAAAUGACCCCUGAAGUCAAGAGUCAGCAGAGUUUAGAUGACCCUGCUUGUAAAAACAAUCGUCAAGGCUUCUUUUCCUUUCCUAAGGUUUUCAUAGGCAGCCUCAGAGCAGAGCCAGGUUCCAGAGAGGUAAAGAAAUGGACAUAUGGAAAAAAAAGUGGUUCUCCCAAGGCUCUGUGCUCAGUGAAAGUACGCACGCUAAUUUUAAACAUUUCAUUCAUAAGCCAUUCUUUAAAAAAAAAAAAAAGCCUUUUAAAAACUGUUUUUGGGGGGAGGGGGAGUAAUUAGGUUUAUUUAUUUAUUAUUUUUUGAUGGAGGGCCUGGGGAUUGAGCCCAGGACCUCCUGCACGCCGGGCAUGUGCUCUACCACUGAGCUACACCCUCCCCACCCCCCAUAAGCCAUUCUUUAUUCCUGCAAAACGCCAGGCUUGUACUUGGGUCUGGAGACAGAUCCUGUGUCCCGUGGUCACUCACAGCCCCUUCCCCGCAUUCUGAGGUCCGUGGUCAGCAGGCCCCCGAGGCACAGUGAAGCUGAGGCCCAGGUGACCCAGGGAAGGGCAAAGACUCAGAUGAACUUCACCUGACUCGCGCUGCUCCUGAGACUGCAACAGAAUUCCCGCCUUCCUCCCGACCCUCCCCUUCCUGGGGAAAAAAUAAAAACCCAUCAUCGGGAAGGCGACUGUGAAGAUACCAAGCCACUGAAAAGAAAUCCCCACUUAAUAUCACUUCUCUGGCUCCCAGAGUCUCUCAGACAAGGGGGUGAGCAGAGAUCCUGCCUGGAAGCAUCACGAGGGUCCCUCUGAGCCUGUGGCCUGGGGCCCAACUGGCCUGAAGCCACCACCAAAACCAACAGCCUCCCCUGACACAGGACACCUUAAAAACGGCCGAGCGGGCUGCUGCGCCGCAGCGAUAUGUCCUAUCAUUGCGGGGAGUACGGGGGUGUGUGGGGUGACCCUCUGCUCUGCUGCGUGGCCACUUUAAGAACAGCCACAGACACUAUCUCCCAGACACACUCCGUGGGGUUGGCCUCCCUCCUGAGACUUUUCUCCCUCCCGUUUGGCAGCAACAUGGAUCCAAAGUUCAGUAUUUCAAGAACGGAGCAGGCGUGACCAUGAGAUGCCCGGCUUUUGUGGGUCUUUGAGAAAACAAGGAAACAAGCAAAUCGCUUCCAGAUGGGGGUGACCCCGGCCCCCGGCGGACUGGCCCCCUCACAGGUGCCCUUGUGGUCCUGUGACAACACACCCUGCUCAGUAAAGUCAGAGGAAAGCUUCUAGAAUCGCCACAGACAGACCGAAGACAGAGGCUCCCAGGAGUCCUCUUCCCCAACCCCUCAUGCAGAGAGAACAUAAUUCAGAGACCCAGGUGGGUGGAACUAAAUUUGACAGCAAAUCGCCAGCUGUGAAAAAUAUGAACUGGAUUAAUUGAGUCCAGCAGAGGCCACCUGCUACCUUUGGUACCCAAGAGAAUGAGUGUUGAUGGGAUUACAAAGCCCGGAGCCCAGGCAUGCAGGCCCCAGGUGAACACAGAGCUGCGCUCCUCUGCUGAUGUGAUGAUAAAGCCCGAAGCCAAGGGAUGUGGGCCCCGGGUACCCGGGACCCUGGAAACACAGCUCCUUCUAUCUCGCUCCCACCUGGCUCCGUACCUUUCCCGAGCACCCCCUUCCCCCGGAGCAGAUGCUCCAGAACUCACUUUACAGAAGCCCACUGGGCAGGGCAUGCCGUCCUUAACCAGGAUCCCCGAGGUCAGUCGCCGUUGGCCGUGGGAGCAGCUGGGGAUGCCGGAGCCACCGCACCCCUGCUGGGCCUGGGAGGUGGGGCCCUGGGGGCUUUAUCAGCAGCAGAGGCGUUACUGGGGCCCAGGAGUGGAGCAGAGGGGAGGUGCCUGCCUGGGGCAUGCAGAUUGCAGGGCUGCCCUUGCCCACAUGCUCAACCUGGGCGGGGAGCCUGGCCUCGCUCCCGGGCCCCAGUCCCUGCCUGGGCAGCCUGUCUGACAGCUGGGAGCGAGCGGAGCACCUGCUCACCUCCUCCUCGGCGGCUGCUGAGUUUGGGUGCAGGAGUCCUACAGAGGUGGGCUGCCUGGAGGAGGCGCCUGGUGGGGACAACGGCCCUUCCACAAGCAGAAGGCUUUCCGGGAGCCACGGCUUAACCCUGGGGCUGCAGGGACACAGGGUCUGGAUUUUCAUGUGCUUUCACUGGGGGCUCCUGCAUUCCUUCACUGCUGAUUUGCAGGGAAUCUGGGCACCAUCUGAAUAACAUUGGAGCCCCAAAUAACCACAUUCCUGGGAACCAGAGGUGUAUUGACACAGCUGGGUUCAGUCCUGCCCGAGAAGGGUCUCCCAGUCUCCCUCCUGUGCCCCUCCACCUCCUGCUGGGCUGAGGCCAGUCCAGGUCCCCCCACAGGCAGCCUUCUGGCCUCAGAGCUUGUCUGCAGACCCAAGUGGUUCUGCUGUGAGGCCACAGCUGCCAUGAACACCGCCCCGGACCACUCCGCAGAAGCUGGAGGGCCCUCGGUGGAGGCGGGGCGAUCCCCCAGCAGACCAGCACAUGACAUAGUUUAGGGGGACCAAGCAAGUUCUAGGCCACAUUAGGACUAAAAGUACCCACCAUUGAUCGUUGCAGCACACUCGCCCUUAGCACAGAAUUCAAAAGAGUGGCUUUUUUUUUCUUUUGAGAGACCAGACAGGUAAAACACGUAAAAGGAGCAGAUCGCGUAAGACAUGACAUGAGACAAAUGGUCUAAUUUGGCGACAACAGUUGGGCCAGGCUCAUUCGCGACGGCAGAGCCCUGCCUGCACCACGAGGCCUGGGAAGGAGUUUGCAAUUGUAGGAAUCCUGGGGAGCACUACAGAGGAAGUGCCCGGUGGAGGCUUGGAGCCGCCCCGUGGUUGUCAGUGGCAGGGUUGAGACAGGAGGGAAGGGGGCAGGGCACAGCCAUUGAAGGAAUGACAGCAAUUAACACCAAAAUGGCGGAAGACUCAACUCCCAGUUGGCCUUGAGGAUUAAGAUGGCAGGAGAUUUUGACUUCUAGUAGAUCUUGAGCUUCAUUAUAUGCUCAUUGUAACCUAUUAGCAUGGUAAAUAACACGCCCACAGGCGCCAUGGCAGUCCCAAGGCUGACCAUCGAAGGUCAAAGAGUGGACGGUGGCCAGAUUCCUGGGAGUCCCAGCCCCUCCCCCCGGGGUAGCGGGAAUAGUCCUCCCAUUUGUAGGCAUGAAGCUACCGAGCCUGUAAAAACUGGCAACACCACACCUGGUGGCUGCCUCUCUCGCUCCCUCCUCUUUGGAGAGACAGCCCGCACUCUGUCUAUGGAGUGUGCACCUACUUUUACUUUAACCCGAGCACCCAAUUCCCAUACCUCGUGGCCUUUCUCUUGCCUUUUGAAACAGCCUACACUUUAUGCAGUAUGUGUCUCUCUAAAUAA